AUGAUCAACUCGAGCUAGCUCAAACAUGCUCACAAGCUGGUAUCAAUAGUCAGGGGUCUGAGGAGUCUGUUGGCAAUAAUUUAAGUUUAUGGUUAGAGGCCAGUGGAGGACCAAAAGAGGGAAGAAUAUUGGGGAUGAGUUCCUUGAGUAGAACCCAAAGAUUAGUUGGAACUUCUUCCUCCACAUCAGCACUUACGACCCAAAUAAAUACCUUGACUGAUGAGGUUAGCCAUCUGAAGGAAAUAAUAUCGCAAAGAGACCGAGAAAGGGUGCAAAGAGACCUAGAACGAGCUAAUUUGGAGAAAGAUAUUAGAGAUAUGCGCCGACAACAAGAAUUAAUCAUGAAACACCUUCAGUUGAGCUCCGCUCAAAGUCAAAAUCCUCCCAAUGACGACGAUGAUGAUGCCUACGAUGAUAACGAUGAUGGCGGUGAUGAUUUUUGAUGAUUUUAAUAAUGUUAAGUCUGUUGUCUUCUUGCACUGUUCCACUGUCAAUGUCUCAAUUUGGUGUGAUCUCACUGUAGUUGAAGACAACUGUAUUUGUUCACCUCUUUUCGGCAAAGGAGAUUUGAUGGGGAUCAAAGAUUUUGUGGCA